rnacentral:rRNA from 1 species
UACGUAGGGUGCGAGCGUUGUCCGGAAUUACUGGGCGUAAAGAGCUCGUAGGUGGUUUGUCGCGUUGUUCGUGAAAACUCACAGCUCAACUGUGGGCGUGCGGGCGAUACGGGCAGACUGGAGUACUGCAGGGGAGACUGGAAUUCCUGGUGUAGCGGUGAAAUGCGCAGAUAUCAGGAGGAACACCGGUGGCGAAGGCGGGUCUCUGGGCCGUAACUGACGC